GACGAACGCUGGCGGCGUGCUUAACACAUGCAAGUCGAACGGAAAGGCCCUGCUUUUGUGGGGUGCUCGAGAGGCGAACGGGUGAGUAACACGCGAGUAACCUGCCCCUGACUUUGGGAUAACUUCAGGAAACUGGGGCUAAUAUAGGAGAUGAUCUCCUGCUGCACGGGGGGGGUUGGAAAGAUUCGGCGGUGGGGGAUGGUCUCGCGGCUUAUCAGCUUGUUGGUGGAGUAGUGGCUUACAAAGCCUACGACGGGUAGCCGGCCUGAGAGGGUGACCGGCCACAUGGGGACUGCGAUACGGCCCAGUCGCCUACGGGAGGCAGCAGUGGGGAAUAUUGCACAGUGGGCGGAAGCCUGAUGCAGCAACGCCGCGUGCGGGAUGACGGCCUUCGGGUUGUGAACCGCUUUCGCCUGUGACGAAGCGUUAGUGACGGUAAUGGGUAAAGAAGCACCGGCUAACUACGUG
rnacentral:rRNA from 1 species